rnacentral:rRNA from 1 species
UACGGAGGGUGCGAGCGUUGUCCGGAAUCAUUGGGCGUAAAGGGCGCGUAGGUGGCACGGUCAGUUCGUGGUGAAAGCGCGGGGCUCAACCCUGCGUCGGCCAUGAAUACUGCCGCGGCUGGAGCACUGUAGAGGCAGGCGGAAUUCCGGGUGUAGCGGUGGAAUGCGUAGAGAUCCGGAAGAACACCGGUGGCGAAGGCGGCCUGCUGGGCAGUUGCUGACACUGAGGCGCGACAGCGUGGGGAGCAAACAGG